rnacentral:sRNA from 1 species
UACCGCAACCCGGUCGCCUCGAUCUCGAC